rnacentral:rRNA from 1 species
UGCCCUAGUACGGCGAGUGAAGCGGCAACAGCUCAAAUUUGAAAUCUGGCUCUCGGGCCCGAGUUGUAAUUUGUAGAGGAUACUUUUGAUGCGGUGCCUUCCGAGUUCCCUGGAACGGGACGCCAUAGAGGGUGAGAGCCCCGUCUGGUUGGAUGCCAAAUCUCUGUAAAGUUCCUUCGACGAGUCGAGUAGUUUGGGAAUGCUGCUCUAAAUGGGAGGUAUAUGUCUUCUAAAGCUAAAUACCGGCCAGAGACCGAUAGCGCACAAGUAGAGUGAUCGAAAGAUGAAAAGCACUUUGAAAAGAGAGUUAAAAAGUACGUGAAAUUGUUGAAAGGGAAGCGUUUAUGACCAGACUUGGGCUUGGUUAAUCAUCUGGGGUUCUCCCCAGUGCACUUUUCCAGUCCAGGCCAGCAUCAGUUUUCCCCGGGGGAUAAAGACUUCGGGAAUGUGGCUCUCUUCGGGGAGUGUUAUAGCCCGUUGUGUAAUACCCUGGGGGGGACUGAGGUUCGCGCAUCUGCAAGGAUGCUGGCGUAAUGGUCAUCAACGACCCGUCUUGAAACACGGACCAAGGAGUCGUCUUCGUAUGCGAGUGUUCGGGUGUCAAACCCCUACGCGUAAUGAAAGUGAACGCAGGUGAGAGCUUCGGCGCAUCAUCGACCGAUCCUGAUGUUCUCGGAUGGAUUUGAGUAAGAGCAUACGGGGCCGGACCCGAAAGAAGGUGAACUAUGCCUGUAUAGGGUGAAGCCAGAGGAAACUCUGGUGGAGGCUCGCAGCGGUUCUGACGUGCAAAUCGAUCGUCAAAUAUGGGCAUG